GUGCAUGUUCCUUGAGAAAGGAUGUCAGGCACACAGGCAGGGACCUGGUCAACCUUUGGAGAGCUGGCUUCCAUUCUGAGUGGGUAAGGAUGCUGCCUUACAGGGGGCUUAGCAUUCCCGUAAAAACUGACUGCUCUGGUCCCUGCCUAGAAAAGUAAUAUAGGACAUUGGUUGCAACUGUGCCCUGAACAGCUGGCUUCAAACCAUGGUAGAAGAUAAAUUCCCCUGCUCUUUGGAAUGCUGGUGUAUUUUUGGUGCUGUUUUUCUAAACUAUAGGGUUCUGCACACGGCUGAGAUCCAAACCUGUUGGAACUGUUUGUCUAACUUGCACUGGAUACAUAGAGAUUAAAUUCACUGCAAAGGGUUAAACACACGAUGUCUCCUGGACACUCACUAGUGAUGUUGAUGCUGAUGCUGAUGCUGAUGGAGAUGGCGAUUGGUCAACUGAGAAUGCCAAAAUCAAUCACAAGUCAAAAAUGGAAGUUUCUCAAUUUCAACCAUAUCAGGGCACGGACUCAACUUUCAGUAACAGGAAAACAACAACAAAAUAAAAUGACAGGCAACUUUGAAAAUGGAUGUACGGUUUCUGACACUGCAGAAUGAAGGCAAAGAAUGCAUGCUUGUCAAGUCUGUAGAUGGCCAAGCACAGAAAGGACAACCUUUAUCCUGAAUGAACAAGGACCUUGACAUGAUUGUGAGGAGGGAAGUGAAGAGUCUCCAUGCUGAACAAAACCAAUGGUGUGCCUUUCGCCUUCUG
rnacentral:lncRNA from 1 species